rnacentral:rRNA from 1 species
UACAGAGGGGGCAAGCGUUGUUCGGAAUUACUGGGCGUAAAGGGCGCGUAGGCGGCCUGCUAAGUCGAACGUGAAAUCCCCGGGCUCAACCCGGGAACUGCGUCCGAGACUGGCGGGCUUGAAUCCGGGAGAGGGAUGCGGAAUUCCAGGUGUAGCGGUGAAAUGCGUAGAUAUCUGGAGGAACACCAAUUGCGAAGGCAGCUCGCUGGGACGUCACUGACGCUGAGACGCGAAAGCGUGGGGAGCAAACAGG